rnacentral:rRNA from 1 species
CCAGAGAAUUUAGCAGAGAUGCUUUAGUGCCUUCGGGAACUCUGAGACAGGUGCUGCAUGGCUGUCGUCAGCUCGUGUUGUGAAAUGUCGGGUUAAGUCCCGCAACGAGCGCAACCCCUAUCCUUUGUUGCCAGCGAUUCGGUCGGGAACUCAAAGGAGACUGCCGGUGAUAAACCGGAGGAAGGUGGGGAUGACGUCAAGUCAUCAUGGCCCUUACGAGUAGGGCUACACACGUGCUACAAUGGCGCAUACAAAGAGAAGCGACCUCGCGAGAGCAAGCGGACCUCAUAAAGUGCGUCGUAGUCCGGAUUGGAGUCUGCAACUCGACUCCAUGAAGUCGGAAUCGCUAGUAAUCGUAGAUCAGAAUGCUACGGUGAAUACGUUCCCGGGCCUUGUACACACCGCCCGUCACACCAUGGGAGUGGGUUGCAAAAGAAGUAGAUAGCUUAACCUUCGGGAGGGCGUUUACCACUUUGUGAUUCAUGACUGGGGUGAAGUCGUAACAAGGUAGGCGUAGCGAG